UACAGAGGGUGCGAGCGUUUAAUCGGAAUUACUGGGCGUAAAGCGUGCGUAGACGGCUAUCUAAGUCGGGUGUGAAAGCCCCGGGCUCAACCUGGGAAUUGCAUUCGAGACUGAAUAGCUAGGGUACGGUAGAGGGAAGCGGAAUUUCCGGUGUAGCGGUGAAAUGCGUAGAUAUCGGAAGGAACAUCAGUGGCGAAAGCGGCUCCUGGACCAGUACCGACGUCAGGCACGAAGCGUGGGGAGCA
rnacentral:rRNA from 1 species